CAAAUGGUCUGGAUAUACAGCCAUGAAAAAAAUGAAAAAUUUUGAGACCACUUAACAUUGAUUGCGGACCUUGGAGUGGUCUUUACAUUUUUUCCAUGGCUGAAUAUCACAACAAUGUUUGGAACUUGUAAUUAAGCAUGUGAUGCAUGUGUACAUUGUCUCAAUAGUGAGGUUGUUAAGGAUGGCACCUCUUUGGGGUAUCAGCAGCGGUAUGGCCUCAAAGAAAGGCUUGUUUCUGGCCAAACUGUAAUGAACAGUGGAAGAUAAGUCUAUGAUUUUUUGUUUUAAUCAUUGUGUGUCUCAGUGUGUGUGCAUGCCAAUGUUACCCCUAUAAUUUGUACAUUUAAAUGAUUAAGGCCUCAUGUUAUUAUGACCUUUCUAAAUUUGUUUCUCUUUCAUUCAAUUCACCAGUCACAGAACGAGAAAUUUGAUUCCUGAGCCAGACCUCCGUAAACUGCUGCAGCGCUACAGUGCAGACGGGAUCCUCCCUGGAGAAUACAGGGAAAUUAUGUUACAGAGUGCCAAAAGCGCCCCAUUCCUCCUGCCCCUUUUGCAGAAGCUGGCCCUGACCCACACAUGCAAGUGAGCCCUACCGCCCUCUCUUAACACAAGUCAGCAAGAACUCCCCUGCCUGUGCUCUGCUACAUCCCAGUAAAGAACUCGGGGAGUUGAUGUCAGAGAUGGAGGGAUUGAAGUACUGCCAGAUCGAGCGGCAACCAGCACUUUUAGGGAAACUUGCCAAGGAAUGCCCUUUGUUUUUUAGCGUGGUUGGGAUGGAAGGGACUUUUCCUCAGGAGGUGGUACCCAUCUUUCAGUGCCUCUAUAAAAAGGCACUGGAAACAGUGUCCACACCUCCGGUCUUGAGACCCCUAACUUCCCCAGAGGAUCCUGGGCAUUACUUCCCCAAUCUGCCUCCUGUGAGAGACAGAGGCUUGUGCACUAAAGACAGGUGUAAAAAGGAGGCCAGUGACUGUAGGAAGACAGCAGGCAGACACCCUAACCUGAUCCCUGGCAUAUUCACCCUGUUCUGCACACAUGGCCCCAAGACAGUCAUAUAUGACAACGCCUGUCAGCUGCAAACAUACUGCUUGCUACAGGUUCUUUUAGAGAGACUUGGUUUCUUGUGGAUCGUUUGCACUGGCGCAACCACUCAGGGUGUAACAUUGGAUACAAUCUGGACAGCUAUCCUCAGUUCCAGAAAAUAAAUUCUCAGGUGGCAGAGCAGAAUAACUCGCUCUUGCAUUUACAUUUAUUCAUUUAGCAGACGCUUUUAUCCAAAGCGACUUCCAAGAGAGAGCUCUUGAAGAAGAUGAAAGGACAACUGUCCUACAUGAACAGGGAGAACUUCAUCAGGCAUCUGAUGCUCUUUCUGUGGCACAGAUCAUGCAAAGUCAUUACAAAACUUUGAGGUAUGUAAUGACUUGGAGCAAUACACCCAAGACCAUCAACCAAAGGAUAUUGGCAGCAAACUCACAACCACAGGAUGAAGGAUAUCGGCAGUCAACUCAACCACAAUAUGUCAAAAGUCAUUUUUCCAUCUGUAUUGUUUAUUUUCCCAUUUUAAGUGUUUGUUUAAUCAACUUGUUUCAUUGGCCAACCUGAGCAAGAUAGCAAACCCUGGCCCAGUGGUUGUGUUGGGCAUAGGCAUUGCCCCUGUUACAUAAACAAAUUAAACAAAUGUAUCUGUGUUUCCUAUAAACCCCCUAUCAAUCUGGAAGGAUAUAUAAUUUUAUAAUCCUUUCCCGUAUUAUAAGCCAAUAAUCUUUAUGGCGUUCAAAUACAGAUAGCCUAUGCAUAAGUACACCUUGCACACAUUUGUAUAGGCUUAGAAAUAGGUGAGAAAUGGAUACAUUUCAUUCAAGACAAUCACGUAGGCCUAUUAGAUUUGAGUGUUUAUUGAUACCAUGACAUGGAAAUGGUUUGACUUUGGCGGAGUGGAUGAUCUAAGGCAGUGGUUCUCAACAGGGGGCGCGGAGAGAUCAUUAGGGCGGCGCCAUUGGUUUACUUUACAAGAAAAAAAUACAAUAAUAUUUUAUGUAGGCUACUCGGUGUUGUUCAGGAAAAUACAUUUAAGUUGCCAUGGAGGAGCAGUUAGUCAAAUUAAAGAGUGACACCAGAUUGCGACACCUCUUUAGCUCUUGCUCUUCGUUUUGGUUGAGUGUGAUUGCUGAAUAUCCUCAGUUGACUGAUGCCGCCUUGACACAUGAUGUGGAAGACUUGGGGGGGCUUUAGUUCCAAAACGUUGAGAACCCCUGAUCUAAGGGAAUGACUCCUCGAUGCUACCAUGCAUACAUGACAUAUGAGGCACGGAGCAAUAUCCCCCUGAUGGAUAUAACAUACAAACAGCAAGGGGGAGAAGGGGAUGGUGCAGGGCGGCAGCAGCACUGAUCAUACAACAAUCGGGGUGAGUGUGCCUAUCUGCGCGUCCUUUUAAGGCCGUCUUAUCGGUUGUGGCACAGGUGUUGUAAUGAUGAGCGGGUGACGCACGCUGCCCGAUUGCCACAGAAAGGUUCGCUGCAGUGACAGUGGUAUCGAACUUUAUGUCAACGUGUUUUUGUGGAUUGACUAGUAAUUACAUCCAUUUUCACUAUCAUAAACCCACCCUUGCCUGCUUAGCCGAGAUUACAGCACUCAUAGCCUAUGUCCAAAUGAUUGAAUGAAUCUAUUUUGUGUCAUCAUGUUAUCAUUACAGAUAUGAAUUGUUAUAUCGUAUUGUAAUAUUCUACUGACACUGACAGAUUUCCUCCUGCAAAUGUGUCUAAAAAUACCCACACUCAAGCAUGCAAUUUUGGCCAAAAAUUAGGGUUAGGGUUAAGAGUUCCUUUCAAGGUGCAGAGUCAUGUCUUUGUACAGUUAAAAACAGGGGUUAGUUAAACUCUCUCUUUCAAUUUCAAACCCCUAGCCCGAAUUGGGACUCAAUAGCGCCACCUAGAAGUGGUAUUGUUUUUAACUGAAAACCUGCUUUGUAGUCACAUAUAAGCUCUUAUCUUUUUUAAAUUCUGAUAGAAGAUCCAAUAUCACACCCUUAAUGCAUUUGGUUGGAAACACAUGAUAAACAUGAACAGAAAUUGAGUUUUUAAAGAUAAUGUAAACAUAUAAAUACAAUGUACGUACAAGUUGCAUUGAUGAGUGCUGACUAAGUGUGACAUUUAUUGGUGUCUAAUUAACCUAAACAUUCCUUUACAGGUCCAAUUUGAUUAGGAUAUGGGGAAAUAUAGUUUUAAAAAGGAAAUAACUACAAGUCCCAUCAUGCCCGCAAUACAAUUACAUUGUGAAUACCCCAUAUUUGUAGUCCAAUUAGGGUCCGAUAACUCACUUUGGGUAGUUCUCAAUGGCAAUGGUGUUUUGAUCGUGAUUAAAGGUUGUAUUUUUAUUGGCUCUGCUGCAAAUGUAAUUUAUGGUUUAUUUGGGUUAAUUUUGUGUGUACAGAUUUAAAAUUUGGAUCUGAUGUGUCUGUGAUGUACCUAUGAAGAUGUUUAGCCUUUUAUUUUGACUGAUGUCUCAUAUUGUCUCAUAUUAUACUGUAUGUACUUGUUCUCAAAUGAGAUUGCGAAUACAAGCGUCCGAAAUGAGUUUUCUCCGCAGGCUGUCCGGGCUCUCCCAUAGAGAUAGGGUGAGAAGCUAUGUCAUCCGGGAAGAGCCCAGAGUAGAACCGCUUCUCCUCCGCGUCGAGAGGAGCCAGUUGAGGUGGCUCGGGCAUCUGAUGAGGAUGCCUACUGGACACCUUCCUGGUGAGGUGUUCUGGGCAUGUCCCACUGGGAAGAGGCCCCGGGGAAGACCCAGGACACGCUGGAGGGACUAUGUCUCUCGGCUGGCCUGGGAACGCCUCGGGACAAGCGGCAAAUGACGGACGGACUUGUUCUUGUAUCUAUUAUUUAAAUUUGACAUGCCUUGCUAUGUAUUAGUUUGUAGAGGGUAACCCUUCCUUUUACAGUCCCUUAAGUACUAGGUAUUUACAUAGAAAGUAAAGGGUAUGUUUUGUGUUUUAUAGGGUAUUACCGAUUGGUACCUAGGUGGUAAAUACAGCGAUAAUUUAAAGUAUUUACCCAUUAACUAUUUACUAACGUGCUGGUUAAUACUAGGUAAUUUUCACUGGUCCUAAUUAGGUAAAGACAGAAGAGAAAACGUAGUAUUUACCUGAAAACGUAUAAAUAUUACUAUUUAAAUACCGCUGGUAGUAAGUUGGUAUCUACAGGAGAUAAAUAUGGUAAAUUAUAAUGUGUUAUUGGGUAAAUACCACUGCUACUAAGUAGGUGAAGACGGACAAGCUCCAACAGAAAAAAUACUCUACUAUUACCCUGCAGUUACCUAAGGUUAAUGUUGG